UACGUAGGGUGCAAGCGUUAAUCGGAAUUACUGGGCGUAAAGCGUGCGCAGGCGGUUUUGUAAGUUUGUCGUGAAAGCCCCGGGCUCAACCUGGGAAUUGCGAUGAAGACUGCAAGGCUUGAAUCUGGCAGAGGGGGGUAGAAUUCCACGUGUAGCAGUGAAAUGCGUAGAGAUGUGGAGGAACACCGAUGGCGAGGCAGCCCCCUGGGUCAAGAUUGACGCUCAUGCACGAAAGCGUGGGGAGCAAACAGG
rnacentral:rRNA from 1 species